AGCUGCAAAUUAGUAGAAACUCCCAUUGAAAACAAUCACAAGCUACAAGUAGGGAUUGGUGAAUCAGUGGAUAUUGGCAAAUAUCAGAGGUUGGUAGGUAGAUUGAUUUAUCUUUCGCAUGCUCGACCAGACAUAGCAUAUGCAAUCAGGUUAGUUAGUCAAUUAUGCAUGAUCCUCGUGAGUCUCAUGUGCAAACUGUUUUUUACAUUUUGCGAUAUUUGAAGUCUGCUCUGGAAAAGGUCUCUUAUUUCUAAACGCAGUUAUCUUUGCAUACACUUAUUCAAAGAUGCAGAUUGGGCUGGAUCCAUUGAUGAUAGGAGGUCGACUAGUGGUUAUUGCACACUUGUGGGAGGAAACCUUGUCAUCUGGAUAAGCAAAAAGUAAAGUCCUGUUGCUCGAUCAAGUGCUGAGCUUGAAUAUAGAACAAUGGCACAAGGUGUUUGUGAACUCCUAUAGUUGUAGAGAUUGUUGGAGGAAUUGAAAUUAUUGGAGAGGGAUAAACUGCUCAUGAUAACAAAUCACAAAAGUGCCAUCAAUAUAGCUUACAAUCUGUUUCAACAUGACCGAACGAAGCACAUAGAGAUUGAUCGACACUUCAUUAAAGAGAAAUUAAUAAAUGGUGUCUUGAGAUUAGAUCGUGUAACUUCUUAUGAAUAGGUAGCAAGCUGAUGUAUUCACCAAAGGGCUCAGCAACAAGACCUAUCAUACCAAGUUGGGCAUGUGUGAUAUCUAUGCACCAAUUUGGGAGUGUUGACCAACAUAGAAGGUUUCUAAUUAGGAGGAUUUCGAUCUUUAGGAUCCUAAUUAGAUUUGAUUAUAGGGCUUGAUUAUAGGGAUGUUAUUCUUAUUGUAAAUAUAUCUAAUUUAGGUUAAUUCUGUGUAUAAUUACUCAAAUCGUGUAAAAAUUAAUUGAAUUGAAAUAGAAUUUGUUGAAUCCCACAUCAGUUGUGGAAAGGGGUAAUGUGUCCCUUAUAUGAGCCAUAGGCAAUCCUCCCACUAAGCUAGCUUUUGGGAUGAGUUAGGCUUGGCUUAAAUUUAACAUGGUAUCAGAGCAUUUCCAUCUGAUGUUGGGCCUCCCAUAAAUAUGUCACGCACCAGUAAAAUUCUGGACAUGAGGGGUGUGUUGAAUCCCAUAUCGGUUGUGGAAGGGGGUAAUGUGCCGCUUAUAUGAGCCAUUGGCAAUCCUCCCACUUGAGCUAACUUUUGGGGUGAGUUAGGCCUGACCUAAAUUUAACAUAAUUAAAAAUUCCUCCGAAAAAUUUUUCAUAAACACUUAGGAGAAGGAAAGUUCAUAAAUCAUAAUCCAAGAGUGGAGCAGUUGAGCUCAGGAAAGCUAAAAUAUUUUUUUGGAAGCCAGAAAACAGGGUCCCUGCUUUGAAAGCAAAAUCUUAGGCCUUUGUAAUGUUAAUGGUACCUUUUUAGUUCAAAUUUUCCUAGUGGCUCAGGUGUUUGGACCUGUAGAAGGAUAAUAUUUAUUGUCUAUCACAAUAGAGAUUACAACCUAUUUAUACAUGAGAGACGGUAACUAAAUAGGAAGGAAAAUCAAGCCUAUGAUUAUACAAUCCCUAAGAUUAAGCAACUGACCCAUCUAUCAAUAUUUACUUCCUAUAUUAACAUAUUUACUUUCUAUAACUUAUAACACUCCCCCUCAAGUUGGAUCAUAAAUGUUAAUCAUGCCCAACUUGUUACAUAUAUAAUCAACUCGAUUCCCAUUUAGAGUUUUAGUGAAAAUAUCUUCUAAUUGUUCUCCAGUUCGGAUAUGUCCUGUUGAUAUUAUCUUUUGUUGGACCUUUUCACGAACAAAAUGACAAUCAAUCUCGAUGUGUUUAGUCCUCUCGUGAAAUACUGGAUUGGAGGCAAUGUGGAUAGCUGCUUGAUUAUCACACCACAACUUAGCAGGCACCGAAUUUGUGAACCCAACUUCUUCCAACAGUUGACGUACCCACAAGAUUUCACAAACGGCUUGUGUCAUAGCUCGAUAUUCAGAUUCAGCACUAGAACGGGAGACCACAUUUUGCUUCUUACUUUUCCAUGAGACCAAAUUACCUCCCACAAAAACACAAUACCCAGUAAUUGACCUCCUAUCAACUUUCGAGCCUGCCCAAUCAGCAUCACAAAAGCAUUCAAUAUUUGAGUGCCCAUGGUUACCAUAGAAUAGGCCUCUCCCUGGAGUCCCUUUAAGGUAACAAAGAAUCUGUCCCAGAGCAUCCCACUGGGCAACAGUAGGAGAAGACAUAAACUGACUUACCACACUCACUGAAUAUGCAAUAUCAGGACGAGUCACCGUCAAAUAAUUCAGCUUGCCAACUAAUCUUCUAUACCUUCCAGGAUCUGCAAAUGGCUCACUGUCUUCUGUGGUAAGUUGAAGGUUAGGGGUCAUUGGGGCACUAUAAGGCUUAGCACCCAAUUUUCCUGUUUCUGCCAACAAAUCAAGAACAUAUUUUCUUUGAGACAAGAAGAUGCCUUUCUUACACCGCAUAACUUCGAUUCCCAAGAAAUAUUUCAAGGAACCCAAAUCCUUUGUAUGAAACUGUGUUUUAAGAAAUUCUUUUAAGGAUGUGAUGCCAGCAAUGUCACUUCCUGUGAUAAUGAUAUCAUCCACAUAUACUACAAGCAGAAUUACUCCACUAUCAGAAUUUCUAUAAAACACUGAGUGAUCACACUUACUCAUCUUCACUCCAAACUGUUGGACCACCUCACUAAACCUGCCAAACCAUGCCCGAGGACUCUGUUUCAAGCCAUAAAGCGAUUUUCGAAGUCUACAAACUUUACCUGACUCCCCCUGAGCAACAAAACCAGGUGGUUGCUCAAUAUAAACCUCCUCCUGAAGAUCACCAUGAAGAAAAGCAUUUUUAAUAUCCAGUUGAUGCAAAGGCCAAUCAUGAGUAGCCGCCAAGGAAAUAAACAAUCGGACAGAUGCGAGCUUGGCAACUGGGGAGAAUGUAUCAGAAUAGUCAACUCCAUAAGUUUGUGCAUAACCUUUGGCCACUAAACGGGCCUUGAGGCGAGCAAUAGAUCCAUCAGGAUUUACUUUCACUGCAAACACCCAUUUGCACCCAAUAGCCCGCUUUCCUGGGGGCAAGGACAUCAACUCCCAAGUACCAUUAGUGUCAAGGGCCAUCAUUUCCUCUUCCAUUGCAGCACGCCAACCAGGAUGGGACAAAGCCUCAAUAACAGUUUUGGGAAUUGAAAUAGAAUCUAAAGCAGUGACAAAACAACGAGAAGAGGAGGAUAAUUGAUCAUAAGAGACACAAGAUGAAAUAGGAUAAGUGCAAGUACGUUUACCUUUGCGAAGAGCAAUGGGCAAAUCCAAAUCAGACAAUGAAGGAUCAGUAGGAGCAGGAUCGGUCGACGAAGAAGCGGGUAGCGGAACGGAGUCAGAGUCCUCUAAGCGUCUGGAAUACACAUGAAAGAUGGGAGGGCGACCUGGCACAUGAGCGAAAGGUGUAGGAGUAGUCUGACGAGACGAAGAGCGAACAGUGUAUAACAAGAGGUCAUCUUCCUCCUCCUGGGUGUUAUAAACAGAUGAUGGCGGAAAAAACGGAGUGGACUCAAAGAAUGUUACAUCCGCAGACACAAGAUACCGAUUCAGAUCAGGAGAAAAACAACGAUACCCUUUCUGACGUCGAGAGUAGCCAAGGAAGACACAUUUGAGUGAUUUGGGAUCCAAUUUAGUAACCUGUGGACGAACAUCACGAACAAAACAAGUACAACCAAAGAGACGCGGCUCAAUAGGAAACAAAGAUUUAGUGGGAAAUAAAAUGUUAUAAGGGAUAUCACCAUGAAGGACAGAGGAAGGCAUGCGAUUGAUCAAAAAACAAGCAGUGGAUACAGCAUCAGCCCAAAAACAUUUAGGUACCUUCAUUUGGAAUAAGAGGGCUCUGGCUACUUCAAGAAGAUGUCGAUUUUUUCUUUCAGCAACUCCAUUUUGUGAAGGAGUGGCAACACAAGAGGACUGAUGAAGAAUCCCUUUUUGUAACAAAUAAGAUUGAAAUUCCCCAGAGAGAUACUCUUUAGCAUUAUCACUUUGCAAUAUACGGAUGGAAGUAUUGAAUUGGGUUUGGAUUUCAGCAUAAAAUGCACAAAAAAUAGAAAAUAAUUUUGAAUGACUCUUCAUUAAAAAUAACCAAGUAGUACGAGAGAAAUCAUCAACAAAGGUAACAAAAUACUUAAAGCCAGACUUAGACACAAUAGGACAAGGACCCCAAACAUCUGAAUGGACUAACUCAAAGGGAGACGAAGUCCAUUUAUUGACUCGAGACAGAGUAGGUAAACGAUGAUGUUUGGCAAAUUGACAAGACUCACAAUCUAGAAUAGACAAAGAAUGAAACCGUGGAUAUAACUUCUUCAAAACCGAGAGAGAAGGAUGCCCUAAACGACAAUGAACAUCAAAAGGUGUUAAACGCGUGGAGCAUACCAGAGAUCGAGGAGAUCGAGGUAGUUGCUGAUCCAAGACGUAAAGACCCUCUGACUCACUUCCUCGACCAAUAAUCUGCUUCGUCGAAAGAAUCAAUAACCCAUUUGGAGGAUGAAGACACAAGACAUGUAGUAGAGUUACCUGACUCGGCAAUUGCAGUGAUAGAGGAGGAAUUAGAAGAUUUUAUAGAUGCCUGGUAUUGGAUGAAUUGUGCAUACUCAUCUGCAAAUAUCAAAAUUCCCUGAUCGGAAGAUCCAUUCAAUUUGUGUUCCGUGAUUUUAGUCAUCAUAGGAAUCACAUCAGUUACGGUGGUGGUUUUAACUUCAGCCAUAAGGACAACCAACCCAAAAACGAUAUCAACAAAAGAAACACAGAAUCAGAAAACAGUACCCGGCGUGAACAGUACUGAUGAACAGUACCACGUGAACAGUACCCAUGAACAGUACCGAUGAACAGUGCCUGUGACAGUACCAACUAAAACACCUCCACCUAACACCCGAACGGCAAACAAACCUCAAAUCUGACAAGGAGUCGAUGUGGUGACUCCAGAGAUGGUGAGAUCUAAAUGUUACCCUUUAUGGAUAACCCAAAUGAACGGAGCCCUAAGUCUCCAAAAAAAAAAUUUUAAAACUUUACGAGAGAGAAAAGAGAAAAAAAUCUCUAUGAAAAAGGCUUUGAUACCAUGUAGAAGGAUAAUAUUUAUUGUCUAUCACAAUAGAGAUUACAACCUAUUUAUACAUGAGAGACGGUAACUAAAUAGGAAGGAAAAUCAAGCCUAUGAUUAUACAAUCCCUAAGAUUAAGCAACUGACCCAUCUAUCAAUAUUUAUUUCCUAUAUUAACAUAUUUACUUUCUAUAACUUAUAACAGGACCG
rnacentral:lncRNA from 1 species